rnacentral:rRNA from 1 species
GACGGGGGGAUGCAAGUGUUAUCCGGAAUCACUGGGCGUAAAGAGCGUGUAGGCGGCCCCGGUAAGUCCGCCGUGAAAGUCCAGGGCUCAACCCUGGAAUGCCGGUGGAAACUGCCGGGCUGGAGUCCGGAAGAGGCGAGUGGAAUCCUGGUGUAGCGGUGAAAUGCGCAGAUAUCAGGAGGAACACCAAUGGCGAAGGCAGCUCGCUGGGACGGUACUGACGCUGGAGACGUCGAAAGCGUGGGGAGCAAAC